GGACGAAGGCGUCAAACAGUUGAAAAGGAAAGUUGGCAUUAAAUCGAGGCCACAUGGUUGGAGAGGCCAUAACGUCAUGCUAAAAUUCAGAGGUUGACUAUCUUGGAGGAGAAGGUAUGGAUUGAUUGUGAAUUGGCGAGGGAUCCACAUGUAUAUUUUUCGGAGAGGGAGAUCGAACAGGAUUAGGUUCGUGGACUGGUGAGGGAGCCGAAGAUGAACCUGGAUGGCUAUCUGAUGGAUGUUUCCUUUUUUGGGAUAAGAUGGGGACAGAUCCGACCAGUUCAUCAUCAGGCACCUGAAUUUCUGUUAGGACUAUUGGGGGAAUGUCAGCCGAAGACGAUGGAACUCGGAGCUCAUCGGCAGUCAAAGGGGUAAUCUUUGUCCUUAUCUUCUUAGCACGAAGAACCUUCGCCCGAUCAUGGAGAGGUAUGUCAAGUAGGCUUCUCUUAAUUGGGGCAGAUUCGGAAGGUGCAGAACUAGGGUUGGAUGAAGGGGCUGCUUGUGGAAUUGCUUCGGGAAUUGUUUCCGGAUCACUUUCAGGAUUUGUUUCCGGCUGGGUGGAUUUGGAUUUCUUGGCGG
rnacentral:lncRNA from 1 species